rnacentral:rRNA from 1 species
AUUAUUUGAGUCUUUCUAAAGAAACUUUGGCCUUGUCCUUUCAAGGACAUUCAAGUUUCCACAUGAUUGUGUGGCCCGCGGAGAUUCACAUGUCGGUAGCUUCCCUUGGGUGAGAAAAAACACUAGGAAACCUGAGGGAAUUCCCUAACUCUCUUUAAUGACAAAGCUUUCUCCGCCCGAUGAUGAUUCUGCAAAUUUUUCUUCGUUGGGGGUGAUGGGGCACCCCAACUCUUUGAUAGAUGCGAUCUGAGAAAAGGAGACUCCUCAUUUUGGGUGAGAAACGCCGCGCAGCCCUCUACCGUACGUGAGAGUGGGGAUUUUGCACUCUGGCACAUUCUGUUAUGCCGAUAUCCCGAGAGUCUUAAGAUUGUUCUUGAUUUAAACUUCGUUCUGAGGGGGAAAAAAAGUCCGUUGCACCUAAAAAAAGGCCGCGUUGCUUGUCUUGUGCGAACCGCGCGUAAAUAA